rnacentral:rRNA from 1 species
ACGGGUGAGUAAAGCAUAGGGAUCUACCCAUGGGACUGGGAUAGCUUAGGGAAACUUAAGGUAAUACCGGGUAAGCCCGCAAGGGGAGAGUGAGGGACUGGGGAACCGGCCCCACGCCGAUGGAGGAACCUAUGUCGGAUUAGCUAGUUGGGAGGGUAAAGGCCUACCAAGGCGACGAUCCGUAGCUGGUUUGAGAGGACGACCAGCCACACUGGGACUGAGACACGGCCCAGACUCCUACGGGAGGCAGCAGUGGGGAAUAUUGGACAAUGGGGGGAACCCUGAUCCAGCAAUGCCGCGUGUGUGAAGAAGGCCUGAGGGUUGUAAAGCACUUUCGUUGACGAGGAAGCCUGAUGGUAUGAAGAGUGCUAUUAGAAGACGUUAGUCAAAGAAGAAGCACCGGCUAACUCUGUGCCAGCAGCCGCGGUAAUACAGAGGGUGCGAGCGUUAAUCGGAAUUACUGGGCGUAAAGGGUGCGUAGGUGGCUGCGUAAGUUAGAUGUGAAAUGCCAGGGCUCAACCUUGGUUAGGCGUCUAAUACUGAGCGGCUAGAGUGUUGGAGAGGAUAGUGGA